AUUCAGGUAUGUUGUGUCUUCAUUCUCAUUGGUGUCGAAGAACAGCUUUAUUUCUGCCUUCAUUUCAUUGUUUAUUCAGUCAACAUUCAAGAGCCAGUUGUUCAGUGUCCAUGAAGUUGUGCAGUUCUAGGUCUGGUCAAGAGAAGGUCAGUUUCCCUGGGAAAGAUUCUGAGAUGGAGAAUUGUGUGCGGUGAGCUUGUUGAAAAGUGCAGGGUGGAAACAACACCUGUGCAAAGGAUGAGGGUAAGAGGACUGGUCAGGGGAGGAAAUUGGACAGAUGUAUAAUUGCAAC
rnacentral:lncRNA from 13 species